rnacentral:rRNA from 1 species
UACGGAGGGUGCGAGCGUUGUCCGGAAUCACUGGGCGUAAAGGGCGCGUAGGUGGCGCGGGAAGUCAACGGUGAAAGUUCGGGGCUCAACCCUGAAUCGGCCGUCGAUACUCCCGGGCUCGAGCACUGUAGAGGCAGAUGGAAUUCCGGGUGUAGCGGUGGAAUGCGUAGAGAUCCGGAAGAACACCGGUGGCGAAGGCGGUCUGCUGGGCAGUUGCUGACACUGAGGCGCGACAGCGUGGGGGAGCAAACAGGG